UACGUAGGGUGCAAGCGUUAAUCGGAAUUACUGGGCGUAAAGCGUGCGCAGGCGGUCUUGUAAGACAGAGGUGAAAUCCCCGGGCUCAACCUGGGAACUGCCUUUGUGACUGCAAGGCUUGAGUACGGUAGAGGGGGAUGGAGUUCCGCGUGUAGCAGAGAAAUGCGUAGAUAUGCGGAGGAACACCGAUGGCGAAGGCAAUCCCCUGGACCUGUACUGACGCUCAUGCACGAAAGCUAGGGUAGCGAACGGG
rnacentral:rRNA from 1 species